GCAUUGUGUCUCAGGACUCUUUUGAUCAAUGAAAACAAUCUCGGACACCUGUGAUAAUUAGAUUGCCAGGUGAGCCCAAUUUAUGGAAAAAUUACUAAAGGAGGGUGUUCCACAUUAUUAAGCAGAGUACCAUUUUCAUGCAAUAUGGGGAAGAAAAAUGAUCUCUCUGCUGCCGAAAAGAGUGAAUAGUUCAAUGCCUUGGACGAGGUACGAAAACAUUAGAUAUUUCACGAAAACUUAAGUGUGAUCAUCACACUAUUAAGAGAUUUGUG